AAGCUCGUAGUUGAAUUUCGGGGUUAGUAGGUUGGUCAUGCCUCUGGUAUGUACUGGUCUCACUGAUUCCUCCUUCCUUAUGAACCGUAAUGCCAUUAAUUUGGUGUUGCGGGGAAUUUGGACUGUUACUUUGAAAAAAUUAGAGUGUUUAAAGCAAGCUAACGCUUGAAUACAUUAGCAUGGAAUAAUGAAAUAGGACGUUCGAUCUUAUUUUGUUGGUUUCUAGGUAUUGACGUAGUGAUUAUAGGAUAGUUGGG
rnacentral:rRNA from 1 species